GGGGCUCUGCGGCUGCAGAGGUUCCUUUCGGGGCAGCACGCUCACCUUGUGCCCUGUGUCAUGAGCAGGGCAGUUGAUGGGCACCCAAAGGCACCGUGAUGUUUGAGUGGGAAUCCCACUGUGUGCAUCCCACUGGGUGCAGAAGUGCCGACGGAAACGCAUCGAAAUCCUGCUCGGGCAAGAAUCUGUGAUCACAGAAUCAUAGAAUGGCUUGGGUUGAGAGGGACCCCAUGAAUCAUCAAGUUCCAACCCCCUGCCACGGGCAGGGCUGCCAACCUCCAGAGCUGGUACUACACCAGGUGGCCCAGGGCCCCAUCCAACCUGGCCUUGAAGAUGUACCCUGGGGUGAGAGACCUGCUGCCAGAAGGGCCCUAUGGGAGAGAAGAGUAUCUCCAAAUCAUUCGGCCAUCUGAAGGAUGUUUAAAAGGAGACAAUGGGAUCAUUCAUCGACAUUUUUCAAACAUGAAACUUUUGAAAACCGGCCGAUUUGGGCAUGUGCACAAUCCUUGGAAGCAAUGCCAUUCAAGAGGAGCUGAACCCCACACAGGGCUGCGUAUGGGCAGCUGGCAUUCCCUGUGCGUGUUCCUGAGAUCAGCAGUGUGUUACACAGCCAGAGGAGGACGGGAGCAGCGUGGGUGGAACAAGACUCGGGGCUUUCUGCAGUGACCGUGAGGGCGGUCCCCUCAUCUCCAACCUGAGCUGGAGGCAAGAGCCUCAAAUUAGCACGGGCGCAGGGUUGUGAGGAUCUCCAGCUGGCUGCCAACAUAUUGACGGUGGGAUGAAAUUUCUCUGGAAGAAUUGUAAGGUAACUGGAGCAGAGUGAGUAAUUCAACCCGAGAGUGUCUCCUUUUCCCGUGCGCAGAGUAGCCGAAAGUGUUGGGCGGCUCCUUCCCGUUCAUUCAUCAGGAGGCACACAGCCAUUUGGUGGUUCAGCUGCUGGGAGGGGACUGCGCCGGGCUUGUCCUGAGCACAGCGUGGUGUGCUCUGCAGGCUGUGUGGCCACAGCCCCACGGUGGCCGUGAGCACCUUCCUGCAGGGCACGUGAGCUGCCUGCUGGGGAUGCAGGGGCAGCAGCCUCCCGUGAGGCGGGGGCACAACGCUGCCUGGAAGGUGCCUCUCCGUUCCCUUCACUCCCAGAGCUGGCCGAGCUCUCAGCACAUUUCUCUUCGUGUCCUUCGCUAUGUUUGUGGCUCCUGUGGCACCCAGACCGAGGCAGAAGCCCAUGGGCCGUGGCUUUGGAGCUGCCUGCUCUGCCCGGCACCGCGGCCCCGGCCGUAAUCCCCGUGCUCUCCCCUCGCUGUCACGCCUGCUCACUUGUCAAAAGAGAGAUGAAAAUAGAUUCGCGGGAGCCGUUUUUAGAAGUCUCCACUGGGUGUUGUGCGCAACACGUUUUGGGAUUAUUUUCGUUGUUGAGGAUUUUUUCCCCCCGUUGCCUCUCUUUCUCUCCUUCUCUCCAACAUUUGUUAUCCACGCUCGGGCUUUUGUCACCCAGCCCUUCUUGAGCAGCUCUUGCAGCCUUUGCCUGUCGUCUCCUGAGCCGGGAGGCCGAGUUAAUAACAAUCUGCGGCGCUUCCCGACCUCCCUGCGCCAUUGGAAGCGUUCCCCGGUGCCCCCUCAGCAGCUCCUGUCCCCCGCUGGCUCCCAGGGACACUGCUGCCGUGUCGGAAGGGAAGCAGGUGGUGAGAGAUGGCUUUUCCAAGUCCUACUUCCAUCCCUUGGCAGCAUCCCUCCAGAUCCGAUGCGACAUUCGGGAUUCGGGAGGGAACCCGGCGCUGUGGCAAAGCGCAACACCGGCGGCGAAGGACUGUGCCCCUCCUCAUGGGACAUGGGGACAUGGGAGAUGACGCAGUGCCACAUCUGUGCCACUGCAGCACACAGGUCUCCCCUCCGCCCGUCCUGCCCCGGCCCCUUGGCUUCACACAGCUCCAGCAUCCGUUGGCCCCAAAGCAGAGGUGUGCAACCCGAGCACGAGGCAUCCGGAACCCGAUCCUUCCUGCAGGAGGCUCUGAGCACGCUGCAGCUCCGAGCUGGGGCAAAGCACUGCUCCCUUCGCAGAGAGCAGCAUAAUCAGGUCAAGAUUUAUUUGUCCUUGUGGUGAAGCCCCGUUCCCUUAGCAGAGCCCCACGGGGUUCCCGGCGUGCAGCCACCUUCUGUGGCCACCUCCCAGGGCACGGCACGGCCGGUGCAGCGCUGCGUCCAAGGAACCGACCCCAGACCCCAAACCCACACCUGGAGCUCUGCAGCCCUGCAGGCGCUUGGAGGCUUCUGUUAGAAAGUGGGAUUGCAGCCUCGGAGAGUCCCACUUUCAUUUCUCUCCUCCUGGAAGCCGGGGGAAGAGCAAACUCCCCCGCACGCGCAAGGUGGGCCGCAGAGGUUAAUUAAUGAUUGUUUGCAAAGCUCUCAGUGUGGCGAUGAUGCACGGCGCAGAAAAGCUGCCGAGGAAAUGAAUAAUUCUGCCUUCCCAGCAGGGUGGGAGCGGGACGUGGUAAAUAAAGCGAGGGCUGCGCGUGGGGCGGGAGGAGGAGAGGGGCCGUGGGCUGCAGCUCUGCAGGGCUCUUCCCACCCACUGCCAGCCCCGCAAUAGGAGUGGUGGGAUGGGGAGGGGGCUGAUGCCCAGCAUCCCCUGCGUGGGCUGUGCGCCCGCUAUGGGGCCCUGCGGCCACGCACCCCAUGGCUGUGUGUUCCUCGUGCUCACUGCUGGAUCAACCUGAACAAGGGGGACGAGUACUGGUGGAACGCCGUCCUGGAGGGCGA